CGGGAUGUGGCUCAGUUUGGUAGAGUGCUGCGUUCGGGACGCAGAGGUCGCAGGUUCGAAUCCUGUCAUCCCGA
rnacentral:tRNA from 1 species